ACAGAGGUGUCAAACGUUGUCCGGAAUUACUGGGCGUAAAGGGCGCGUAGGCGGCCUUAUAAGUCAGGUGUGAAAGCUCUGGGCUCAACCCAGGAAUUGCAUCUGAUACUGUAAGGCUUGAGUUCGGUAGAGGAGGGCGGAAUUCCAGGUGUAGCGGUGAAAUGCGUAGAUAUCUGGAGGAACACCCGUGGCGAAGGCGGCUCUCUGGUCCGAAACUGACGCUGAGGUGCGAAAGCUAGGGUAGCAAACAGGAUUAGAUACCCUGGUAGUCCUAGCUGUAAACGAUGAGUACUAGGUGUUGGAGGUAUUGACCCCUUCAGUGCCGAAGCUAACGCAUUAAGUACUCCGCCUGGGAACUACGAUCGCAAGAUUG
rnacentral:rRNA from 1 species